AUUGAACGCUGGCGGCAUGCCUAACACAUGCAAGUCGAACGGGGCAGCAAUGCCUAGUGGCGGACGGGUGAGGAAUACGUAGGAAUCUGCCCUUAAGUGGGGGAUAACCAGGGGAAACCCUGACUAAUACCGCAUGAUCUCUUCGGAGCAAAGAGGGGGACCGCAAGGCCUCUCGCUUCUGGAUGAGCCUACGUCUGAUUAGCUAGUUGGUAGGGUAAAGUCCUACCAAGGCGACGAUCAGUAACUGGUCUGAGAGGAUGAUCAGUCACACCGGAAAUGGGAAACGGUCCGGACUCCUACGGGAGGCAGCAGUGGGGAAUAUUGGACAAUGGGCGCAAGCCUGAUCCAGCAAUGCCGCGGGUGUGAAGAAGGCCUUCGGGUUGUAAAGCACUUUAGCCUGGAAAGAGAAAACUUUGGUUAACACCCAAAGUCUUGACGGUACCAGGAGAAUAAGCACCGGCUAACUCUGUGCCAGCAGCCGCCGUAAAAC
rnacentral:rRNA from 1 species